AACGACUCUCGGCAACGGAUAUCUCGGCUCACGCAUCGAUGAAGAACGUAGCAAAAUGCGAUACUUGGUGUGAAUUGCAGAAUCCCGUGAACCAUCGAGUUUUUGAACGCAAGUUGCGCCCGAAGCCUUUUGGUUGAGGGCACGUCUGCCUGGGUGUCACAC
rnacentral:rRNA from 1 species